GCGGGCCACAUUGUCCUUGUUCCGCACGUGCCACGACUUCUUGGGCAGGAUGUUCAUGGUCCCGCCUCAAGUCCGCACUGCGCGGCGCCACUUCCGCUUCCGGGUUAGCGCCCUGCCGGUGCGCUGAUUGGCACGCCCAGAUUUAAAAUUUUCCCAAUUGCAGAAAAUCACAGGAGAGUCAAAGAACGGGGGGAGUCAGCCAAUGAUUUAUCGACAGCAGGUG